UCCAAUGUAUCCAACUCAGUUAGAAUUUUCAAACAUGAGCAUUAGAGAUGGAAACCAAAACUGUGAAAAGAACGAAAAGUCAGCCAACAAAAGGAAUGGAACUAUAAAUAGUGAUCAGAUUGUUAUGAUGGAGAAAGCGCUCAUAGAUGAACCUCAUAUGCGGCUGAAACGAGCUACAAUAGAGGCAUGGGUCAACAAACUAAAUCCAUGCGGACCCCAGAUUACAACUAUGCAACUAAGAAAAUGAAAAAGGAUAAUUGAAGAUAUUUUUAUGGCAAUCCAUCUACUAGAGGAUGUAUUGUUAAAAAUCAAGAUAAUUGUGCUCUAAACCAAAAAUGAAGAUGUCCCGGGAAGAAAACGUCAAACAAACGUGAUAAUAAUUAUA